ACUAGCCUUAACUGACUGGCCAGUUCCUGGUACUUGAAAGCAACUGCAGUGUCUUGGGUUCGCCAACUUCUGGCGGUGGUUCAUCAUCAACUACAGCCAUGUUGCAGCCCCCCUUACCCAGCUCACCUCCACCAAACCCCUUCCUUCUCUCUUUUGUCCAUUUAAGAAAUUGUUUUUCUCUGUUUCUGUCUUCUCGCACCCCAGUCUGAAGUUAGUUGUUGAGGUAGAUGCCUCUAACACCAGUGUGGGCAUUCCUCUCUCAGCAUUAAGCUAUGGAUCAAAGACUUCAUCCCUGUAUCUUUUUCUCCCACUGUUUCUACCUGGCAGAGAGGAAUUACGACGUCAGUAUUAGAGAGUUGUUGGCCAUCACCCUUCAGGAGUGGAGGCACUGACUGGAGGGAGCUGUAGAUCCCUUCCUGAAAUACCAAGUCUGAUGCCCUCUACUGUCAGUUUGGCCUCUCCAAGUAGGAAGCCCAAGAGGAGCCCAUCAUCUUUCUCAAGCAUGUAGUAGCUACAGCCAGCCCCCCUCAGCACUAGAGGCUCCCAAUCUCCUGGUCCUUCAUGUGUUCAAGCUUCUCCGUAUCCCCAAUGGACAUCAUCUUGGAUAGGGGAACUCAGUAAACUUUCCAAUUGUGUAAGGCUUUCUGUCAGGCAUUUGGUAUAUCAGUGAGUCUCUUCUCAGGCUACCAUCCACAGACAAACAGGCAGACAUCCACCUCCCGUGGACAGAAUAUGUUCAUAACUUCCUGGUCAGCCCUCUGAGAUUGUUAUUAUGUUAAAUACAAAUAUACAUUGAACAAAUUCAAAUGUUCAAUGAAAAAAAGUUCCUUGCAAUAUUAUAAAUCUGCCUCCUGGAUCAGUGUAAAUAUUGAUGACCUGAAAAAUGAAUAUAUUAAUGAAUAAAGAUUGCCACAUACAACUCUCUGCAUGUUAAUCCAUCAUCUCUUAUAGACUACAGCUCGUGCAAAAUGCUGCUGCUCUGCUUUUAGCAAAGGCCAGAAAACAUGAGCACAUCCCUCCAGUUUUAGCCUCACUCCAGUAGCUUACUGUCUGCUUCAGAAUUGAUUUUAAGAUUGUUUGGUUUUAAGUAAGUAAAUGAUAUUUAAACUGUUUUGGAAGUGUUGUAGUGGGUUAUUGCUUAUUCCUCAUUUUUACUAUUGUUCCUGUUUUUGUAAUAUUAUGUCGCUGCUGUGACAAACACAUUUCCCCAUCUGAAGGACAUUAAAG